rnacentral:rRNA from 1 species
AGUGAACGCUGGCGGUAGGCCUAACACAUGCAAGUCGAACGGCAGCACAGUAAGAGCUUGCUCUUACGGGUGGCGAGUGGCGGACGGGUGAGGAAUACAUCGGAAUCUACUUUUUCGUGGGGGAUAACGUAGGGAAACUUACGCUAAUACCGCAUACGACCUACGGGUGAAAGCAGGGGAACUUCGGACCUUGCGCGAUUGAAUGAGCCGAUGUCGGAUUAGCUAGUUGGCGGGGUAAAGGCCCACCAAGGCGACGAUCCGUAGCUGGUCUGAGAGGAUGAUCAGCCACACUGUAACUGAGACACGGUCCAGACUCCUACGGGAGGCAGCAGUGGGGAAUAUUGGACAAUGGGCGCAAGCCUGAUCCAGCCAUACCGCGUGGGUGAAGAAGGCCUUCGGGUUGUAAAGCCCUUUUGUUGGGAAAGAAAAGCAGCAGGUUAAUACCCCGCUGUUCUGACGGUACCCAAAGAAUAAGCACCGGCUAACUUCGUG